GAGGAGGACGGACUAUGUGUACAUCAAAAGCUCUGUGUGCUAUAGAGAAAGCUGUCUGGGAGAGAAUAAAAGGCCUCUCCAGUGGUCAUUUAAACAGGCUCAGCUGGGCAUUCAAGCUUUCAUCAGCUUGAGAGAAAGAAAGGGAGACACACAGAGACAAAAAGAUAUUAGGCUUCCGAAUGCAUAUCAAAGUGCUAGAUGUCCACGGAUCAUGAAAGGACCUGUCCAACAGCGACAAGUAAAUACCUGACUUUGGUCAAUAGCAGUAAUUAUUCGUUUUAAAAAAAGUAAACAAUACAAUUAGUUGUUUAUUUUUGUUUUAAAUGCGGUAGUGUGUCAUUUCUCUGCAGUACAGAAUUGUAAAACACUCUCCCUGUCUUCCAAGAUGUGGUCAAACAAAUAGUCCCACCCCAAACUCACGCCAUUGGUUGAGUCGAUGUUGCUAUGUUGGGGUUCUCAAAAACAGCCACAGAGCUGCGUUUCUUAACAGUUGUGUCAUUUACUCAACCUCACAAUGCUGAAAGCUAUAUGACUUUAUUUCUCUGUUCAAACAACAUUAGACCUCAGUGUCUUUCAUCGUGUGCACAUUCUUCAAAAUAUCUUCUUUUGUGUUCUGCAGAAGUAGAGAGUCACAAGUUUGGAACAACAUGAAGGAAUUCUGAAGAUCCAAUUGAAAAUGCACUGCUGUGUCUGUUUUCCUUCUGAUUGUUGUGGACUGCAGAUAGCCAAAUGGAAUGAAGGAGAGAGAGAGAGAGAAACAGUGGAAAAGGAAGAGGUGUGUCGAGGGUCUGAGCAGCGAUGGGAGGCAGGUAGAGGAUAUGAAGCUGUUAAAAAAAAGAUUCAGUGGAUGAAUGAUGAAGGAGACCUGUUGUUGAACACACAUUUAUCCUCAGGCAUAAAAGAAGAGCACCAAAAGAGUGAGAACAAAACCUAUUACCAUCUCUACUGGAGGUGGAAGGAAUAUGGAAUCGUGCUGAAAUACCUCAGGAGGAUAAGGCAGGUCUGAAUCUAAUGACCAUAUCAAGACCCUUUUUAGAGACAAUGAUCUGACCAUUGAGCUGCUUUAUACUUCACCAGUCAUAAUAAAGUGCUCCGCUCUGUCUUGCACUUCCUUUUUUAAUAGUGUUGAAGUUCUGUCCUUUCCCUUUCCUUUUAUUCUUGAUAGCUUUAGGGAAACUGGCCUUUUGGAUUGGCGAGAACUGAAGAGUGUGUCUGUGCAUUGGUUAACCGUGAGCUCUAUGAUUACACAGCGUCUCAUUCUAACAGACAACCGUGACCGAGUCUGUAAUUAAAUAUUCAAUCACUGUAGAGCAGGUGUGGGACUGUAGCAGUUCCACAACAACAGAAAAUGUAGUUCUUUUCCCUACUGUAGUAAACUAGAUUUACUCUUCAGCAUUACUACUGACCACUGAUCUGAAGAGCUACACAAUAGCUGCAAAUUUAUUUGAUGGAUCAAUAUGCUGCACCCUACGUGCCGCUCAGUAGCACACUGGAUUUACGGGUAAAUAAAGCCUGGAACGUCUUUAUGAAAACUGGGCUCUUUGAAAAUAAUACAAAGAAUCCCUGGUGUGUAAAAUUGGAUUUUCCAUAGAGGAUUCGGAGAGAAAUGUAUGUCAAUAUACACGUAUGGAUGAACUCUGAAUCUCACAAUCUUUGCACUGUGCAUGCUGAAUAUACUGUAUAUGACAUGAAGCCAGUGUUGAAAAUGAAUGUUCAAAAUUGUUACUGUGACAACUGUUUUGUUUCUUUCCCCCAAAGCUUUCACUAUCACUUUUUACAGCAGUGAUAUUGUUUUCUGAAUGCAGCGAUAACUCCAAGAAAGACAAAUGCAUCACCUAAGAUAAUCACAUAUACACACUCCCUGUGACAGAGCUCUCUGGCCGCUGCCACAACGUCAGAUCCCACGCCGUCCUUCAUCUACUAUAUGUGAACAAAAACAACAUGCCCUUUGAGCCUGACUGAUAACCGCUCUCCCUGAUACAAUAGCAGAGACAUUCACAAACGUUGCUUGAAUAAGCAGGAACCCAGUGUGUCUGUAGCUUCCUCUUUUUCCGUUUUGAUUGGUGACAGACAGAAAAGGGCCUACUCAAACAAAAUGGAAAAACCAGUCUAAUCUGGUUUGAGACAUCACUAUGAAACUGAUGACAAAACAUAGACACUGCUAUAUUAUAAAUAUCUAAUCACUUAUGAACAAAUAACCUGGAUUUCAUUUUUCUGACAUUUUUCUGGAAUUGCAGUGGUUCUCAGUGGAUCAGAUUCUCCUUCUCCAGAACUUUAGGUCACACUGAAGUUUGUAACUUGUGUUAUUAAUUCAGACCCAAUUGUUUAAUCGCCCAAUUCUUUGUUUUCUAAACCUUUUUUAUUGUAAAAUGUAUACAUUAGAGGAAAUUUAAGAUUUCUUAUUGUGUCUGUCUACACAAUACACAACUUAUUUUGUUAUAUUUACAAAACACUGGAGAAACAGUGUCUAAUUUUAAACCGUUUAAUCGGCACACUGCCCAUAUCCUUCUGUGUUUAUCUGUCUAUAACUGUGUGUGUGUGUGUAAAACCGCAGUUGUUAAGCCCCUCCUAAAAAAAAAAAAAAGAGUAAUCUCCAUACUAAACAACAAAAGGCCUGUUUCAAAUCUUCUCUCGAUAAGCAAAAUCAGCGAGAAAAUUAUAUUUAAACAGUAUGUAUAUAGAUACAUUUUUCAUUUUCAAACUCAUUUUUUUAGAGAAUUUUUAUGCAAAACAUUAUAGGUCACAUUUUUUCCCUUAUUUAUAGUAUAAUGCCAUUUGUAUAUGAAAUGUGCUAUACAUACCAUGUUGUACUAAACUCACAUAUGAACAUAACACAAAAACAGACAGAAACUCUCUGUGCAUAAUGCACACAUAUUUCAGGUAUAAAAAGACCAGUGUUCCCAUGAUCCUCUACAUUUUAAAACAGUAAUUGGAUGGGCCAGGAGAGUUUAAAGAGCAAACAAACUAAACUUGUGAACCACGGUUGUAUUGCAGCUGUUAGAUUUUCUCCUUGACCUUUUCCAGCCAUGUCAUCCACCCUAGUGCUAAUUGGGCUCAGUGUGCUAAUAUGACCUCUCUGAAUGGAAUGGUAACAGUUAAUGGAGAAGCAAAGUAUAACAGCAUGUGCUCAGUUAUUAAUAUAUUUGGAAAAUGUUAGUGCCAUCAAUAUUACUGUGUAGGAAAUAUAAUUUACAAUUUUUAGCUUCCAGACCAUUUUUUACACUAAGUGUUUCUUAUUUCAAUAUAAGUUAUCCAUUACCAGAACCUUGUUAACCAUGACAAUAUUAAAAAGAUAGUUGACCCCAAAAUAAAAACUGUAUUCAGGUACUCACUCUCAUGUAUUCCAAACCUGUAUGACUUCAAUUUUUAUUUUUAUUUAAAU